UAGGGCUGGGUUCGGUUCUUAUCGGUUCGGUUUUUUGCCAAAACCGAAACCAAACCGAAAUUUCGGUUCGGCCCAAAUUUUUUUCGGUUUUUUUCGGUUCGGUUUUUUUUUCGGUUCGGUUUCGGUUUUUUUUUCGGUUUUUUUUUCCUCCAAAAAAUGCAAAACAACCACAACAUUACUUGAGUUAUAUGCCAAGCAUCCAUUUCUUUAUUUGGUUCACAGAGUGCCUAGUAUUUGGGUCAUUGUUCAAAGAAGCCUUUCCUCUAUGGAAAACAAAUACAAAGCCAUAAACAAAAUAAGAGACGCAAAAGAAUUUAAUUCCCUUUUUAAGACUACACAGAGGAAGAACCAUAUGAAAAUCCCAAUGGGUCUUUGCUAAAACUUUACAACAAACCGAAAAACUUGAACUCAGCAAUUUUAGGUACUAACCUUUCACCUUCAUGCAUUUUCUCACUAACCAAACAUAUACAUUUUCUCACCUCAAAAUCCCGAAUAUAUUCAAGUAAUUCAACUACUUAUGAUCAAGCAGAUCGAGUUCAAAUUUUCAAAACUUAAGCAAAUACAGAAACAUAUAUUCUUCAAGUACAUCGCCAGGAUUCAAAAUUCUAAAAAUUUAAAAUUUACAAAAUCAUGAAAUAAUUCAACAAAUUAAGAUGCAGAUCGAAACACAAAAAAAAGCAAAUAAGUUCAUCUAAGUGUCAUAAUCGGACUCCAAUAUCGCAUGCCCAGUGCCCACAUUCAAAUUCAUAGUCAAGUCCACAAUAGAUCUAGAAAAUUCCGAAACAUAUUCAAAGAAAAAUACAAACUUUUUCACCUUAAAUUACAUAAAUUUCAAAUGGGUAACCAUAAAAUCGCCAUGAUCAUAAAAUUAAAAACCCAUGAACUGACAAAUAAAUAAAACCCACAACCUUUGCUGCAGCAAAAUCGCCAUGAUCAUCGCAAGCUCUAACAGUUCCUCUUUUCGUCGGGUCUCGAAAGGGGCGAGCGAAAAUCAUGAUUUGGAAGAAGGAAUCCGUGAGGAGGACAUGAGAAGCCUAGAGAGAAAGUGAUUUGGAGGAAGAGAGGAAGGAGAGGGAGAGGGAGACAGAGAGAGGGAGACAGAGAGACUGAGGAAGCAGCGGACGGAAGAAAGAAGUGUGAGAUCUGAAAUGAAAUGGGAGUGAGACGUCGGCUAGGGUUUGUAAAGUUAAGAAAUUUUAUAAAGCAUUAAACAUAAGAAACCUAUAAAUAUAUUACUGGUACAAUUACAACAACACAAAGUCUACAGUUAAGUUGGCUAGCAGCACCUUACCCCAACCCGCAGGUCAGGGGUUCAAACCUUGACGCGGCCAACAUAUUUUUUUUUUUUUUAUAAAUGAUUUUUUUUUUCGGUUCGGUUCGGUUCGGUUUGGUUUCCGGACCUCAAAAAUUGAAACCAAACCAACCAGAUUCGGUUCGGUUCGGUUUGGCAGUUUCGGUUCGGUUUUUUUUCGGUUCGGUUUUUUUCGGCCUCGGUUCGGUUUGGUUUUCGGUUUUUUCGGUUUUCGGUUUUUUGAACCCACCCCUACUACCUAUGUACCAUUGGCGAGAUCAAACCAGCGUAGUUAAUUGAUGAAUUGGUUUGGGAUUUUCAAUGAGUGAAUGACUCACUGAAAAAGAAAGAUUUGGUAUUUGGUUUAUUUGAAUACUCUGGAUUUAUUUGAGUGAACUUGGCUAAAUGAACUAUGGAUUCGAUUUUGACUUUGUAGGGAAAUUAUCUAUUCUAAAGUAGAAGGGGGGGCAGACACUGUUCAAUUUUUUUUUAUUAUUAUUUUGCUUUAUUUACAACAAAACCAUGGGAUUUGGGGUUGGGUUGGAAGGUAGUUACUAAAAGUUAGGAGGGUAAUUUUGUCUUUUGAGGUCGAUUCCUCCCCCCUCGAUUUUGCUUUAUUUACAACAAAACCGUGGGAUUUGGGGCUGGGUUGGAAGGUAGUUUUUAAAAGUUUGGAGGUUCAUUUUGUCUCUGAACAGCCACUGGGUUCCAGAAAAUUUUUAUUGUGUAAAAUGACAAGGCUGCCCAUCUCAUCUUCAGAUCCCACGGUUUGGAUGAUGAGUUAGAGGGGUAUAAUUGUCUUUUUAUCAAUAGGGUUUCAGAUUGGGGUUAUGGCAUGUUUACGCAUCUGGAAUGGAGGUAGAAGAAAAUGAAUCGAAUUCUUCCGUGGGUGAUUCCGACGUUUACCAAAUUUUGGGAAUGCAAAAUAUUAGUGGGCUCCACCCAAAAUUAGGAAUCAAACUCCUGAUAUUCCCGAAAUUGAAUUACCGACUUCGAUGAGGUAUUUGAAUUCCGGAAGAAAGCCAACAUCCGGAAUCAGAAUUUUCAACCGAAACUACCUUUUCAUAUUCAACCUUUUCCAUCUGCCUCUUGCGAUUCAACCACCCAAAGCGCACCCAUCCCCACUCCUCCAUCUGCCUUCUGCGAUUCAACCACCCAAAGCGCACCCAUCCCCACUCCUGAACCAACGCACACCACCGCAGCACCUCCCAGACUGCCAAUACCCAUCACCAACCCACCCCAAAAUUCUACCCAACAGAUCCCCGAUAGCCCCAUAUCCAAAUCCGAAAAAGGAAAGAGAGAGAGAGAGAGAGAGAGAGAGAGAGAGAGAGAGAUGCAAAGGGAGGUUGACGCGUCGGGAGUGGCAAGAGUUGGCGUUUGGGGAUGAUCGGAGAAACAAAUUGAGGAGGAUGCAGAGGGAGAGAAUAAUGGGUUUUGUGGAACUGUGGAGGUUCCAGAAGCUUAACCUUUUUUUUUUCUUUUUUUUCUGUUCAGCUUUUACUAUUUAAUAAACAAAAAGGUUCUAUUGAAAAUAAACAUAUGGAAGUUAGAAUUUUAAGUAAAUUAAAACAUAUAUACUAGUGUGAAAUUGAUUUAAAAUUUUUCUUACUAUUAUAUACUAUAUCAAAUGUUAUUAAAAAAGUAUAUAAAAUAUUUGAUUUGAGACAAAAGCAUUUUAGUAAUCAGACUAGUUUAUAUUCCGAUUCUGCUGAAUUAGUAAACAGCUUUAUGGAAUUGUAUUCCGAUUCCGGACAGUUUUAGUAAACAACUUCAACAGGAAUCUGAUUUUGAUUCCACCUCAUUUCAAUUCCUCCUCAAUUCAAUUCGUCUCAAUUUGAUUACGGAUUAAACGCGCCAUUAGUUCCUUCCCCCAUCACUUCGUUCUUUCUUCGGCGCAUUCAAAGCCAUGCCGAUCUUGGCAUGGCAGAGUGGAACGGAGAUAGUGAGAGAAAGAGCGAGUGACAGUGAGAGAAAGAGAGAAUGGUUGUCCGGAGAACAGAGAGAGAAACAGAGAGGGAGGGGUUGGGAUGGUAAGUUCUUAUGAAUUUACUCUUUAACAGUGAGGUCAUUUGCAACCAUUUAUUUAAACAUUUGAUUAAGUAAACGUUUUGAUUGUGUAUUUAUUUAAGGGAGUUUUAAUGAAAAGGGCUUGGUACUAUUCAUUCUUAACCAUAAGGACAUUUUAUGUAUGAAAAGUCUAUAAUAGAUCAAACUCUUCUCUUUAUUUACUCUUAUGCCAUUACAUGCGGACCACAACGAUGUUGACAUUUCUGUCUAGAAAUACAUUAUGAUGCUAUUCAUCUUAUGCUAAUUUACAGCUAGUUCUUCAGGCUUCCAUCAUGUUGUCGAUGGUAUGCAGCUCUUCUUCUGACAAAUUAUUCCAAUACUGUUCAUCGCCUUCUACUAGCUCCGCAUCUCUUUCUCUAUCUUCUUUCACCUUGUAAUAUAUUUCCGUUGUUUCUUCUUUGAAAUUUUGGGGCUUCCAAUAAGGCUGAUGACUGAUUCUUGUCUUGCUGUAAAUAUACAUCUCUUAUUCUUCUGCUACUAGUACCAUAUCAUACCUAAAAUCUUCAAACUCAUCUAAAGCAAACAUUUGGAUCCCUCUAAAUUUUAAAAUAUCUUUGUAUGAAGGAGUCCACCUAUGUGAGGAGAUAGGGUUUAGUCUUAAGAACUUUUCAUUGAUCAUGGUUAUAUGCCUAGCUUUCUCCUUAUGCAUGUGUACAUACCAAUCUGGAGGACUACUAAUAAAACUUAUGCAAAUUUCUUUCCACCUUUCUAGAUAGUCUUCUGCUACUUUAAUAAGCUUUUCAGGAAAUGAUUCUAGUUGAGAAAUACGGUUAAUAAAUAUUUUAUCGAGAUAACCAAACUCUAAUAGUAAGGCAGGGGUGACUUCUACCUCAUUAUGCUUUUUCUGAUGCUCAUAACUAAAAUGCCAUGAUUUAAAAUCUCUCAUGUCAAUCCUGGCCACAGCUACGCUAACUUCUGGUUUACAAAUACAAUUCUCUGUACUAUCACAAAGACAUGGAGGAUACAUCUUUGUAAUAAUAUUCAUCCCUGGUUUUGGAUCAAAGAUGGACUGAUACAAGGCGCAUUGUAAUUGUAAUUGUAACUCUUUCAUGGACUGUGAUGCUCUGCUCAGGAUCUCAUUUUGCAUAUCUGUUGGCAUUAUUCUUAGUUUUGCUUUUGAAAUUUCUUCUAAUAAAACAUCGUCUAAUAUUAAGUCUGAAGAUAUAUUUCUAAGAAAACUUUCAUAUUUUUCUUGUUUUUCUUUGUCACUCAGAACCUGAUGUUGAUCAUUACUUUGAUGUUGCUCCAUUUCAACGUCUUCUUCUAAGAGCUCAAUCUUAAUUUCUUCUAUGGGUUCAUUAGCCUCUUGUUCUAUGGGUUCAAUAACCUCUUUUCCUUUAUACUGAUCAAUUUCUAAACCUAUUUUUAAUUCUCUUUUCAAGGUGUCACUUGCCUUUUGCUGCAUUCUAAGAGAUUGGAGUUCUUGGUUCAUUUUGGUAAACUUACCAAGUAAUGACUCAUGGUCCCUAGAAAUGGCUUGAAGAUUGUGCUCAAGAGAAUAAAUAUGCUGCUGGUUUUGGUGGAAAUUAAAAUUAAAGCUAUCAAACUCUUGUUCCAAGGCUCUAAUUAAUUUUUCAUGACCUAACCUCAUGCUUGGCUGCUUAAUUUGGAUAUUCCAGAAAUUAUCUAAGAGAACCUGCUGCCUAUCAGAAAGAAAGCCCCGGUACCCUUGACCUGUAUCUCAGAGUUGGAUUUCUGAUUCCUUCAACAGUAUUGCCAUUAAAGUUGAACGUGGGUACUCGUGGUGAUGCUGGUCUGCUCAUGCUAUUUUGAAAUCCACUGAAUGGUGGAGGUUGAUGGUGCAUCAUCAUGCCAUUGAAAGAAACUCUUCUGCCUUGCGGCCUUGUGCUAUUUGCUGAUGAUGGUCCACGAUAUUCCAUACCUGUUCAACAAAUUAAUCUUGAUAAGAUAUCAGCUAAUGUAUUGUCAUUACCUUUUAUAUGUUCAAAAAUUGGUUUAAAACCAUUUCCUGUAAUUGAAUCAACAAAAUUAACCCAUCUUCGGGCUGCCUGUUUAUUAGCAUGUAUCUUGUUAUAAUGAGAAACUAUAUUUUGACAAUCUGUUCUAAUCGUAAAUACUUCAUUAUGUAAAAAUAAAGAAAAUGUUUCAAGUGAAUUAAUUAUCCCUAAAAUUUCUAAAUAUGUUGAUGGUAAUCUUGACUGUACAUCACUAAACUUUCCUGAGGAAUAUUUACAAACUUGUUCGUCAGACUUUGGAGACUCCCUAUGCUUUUUCUGGUAUAGUAUAUCUGCCCAUCCUAAUGAUGAAGCAUCUGUUUCGACUAUCUUAUAACUAUCAUCUAAUGGUAAUGUUAAUGGCUUAAGUUUAGUAAUUUCUUCUUUUAUUUUUUUUGAACUAAUUUAAUAUCUUCACUAUUAAAAUAUUUUUGUCCCGUUUUGCUAGUUUUACUAUGUAAUACUGCUAUUUUUCUUCCUAAAUCAGGGAUAAAAUUUCUUGCAUAAUUUAGCAAUCCUAAAAAUGCUUGUAACUGUUUCUUAUCUUCUAAUUUGUUUGGAAAUUCUAAUACCUUUUUAGCUAUAUGAUCUUGUAAUUGUAUCGUACCUGACUUGAUAUACAUUCCUAAAAAUUCUAUAUCUUGCUUUUCUAAUGCUAUUUUAUUUUUGCUAAUCACAAUCCCAUUAUUAAUAAAUUCUUGUAAAACUAUCUCUAAAUGCUUCCUAUGUUCAUUUCGAUUUUUACUAUGUAUUAAAAUAUCAUCUACAUAAACACUACAAAAAUUAUCAUAUUUCUUGAAAAUUUGAUCCAUCUUUCUUUGAAAGAUCGAUGGAGCAUUUUUAAGUCCAAAUGGCAUAACAAGCCACUCAAAAUGUCCUUCUGGACAAGUAAAAGCUGUACACCCAAUUGAUUCUUCUGCUAAUCGUAUUUGCCAAAAUCCUGAUUUACAAUCAAAUUUACUAAAAUAUUUACUUUGUUGAAUUUUAUUUAUAAGUUCAUCUUUAUUUGGUAACUUAUAACUAUCUUUAUAUGUAUUAUCAUUUAAUCUCUUAUAAUUAUAAACUAUUCUAGCCUUUCCUCUUUUUAGCUCUGAAUGUUUUCUUACUACAAAUGCUGAUGAUCUGUGUCUGGACUUAGAGGGUCUAAUUACUUUUAAAUUUAACAACUCUUUUAUUUGCUGCUCAAACUCUUGUUUAUCUAUUAGACUACAAGGCAUAUCAACCGUCUUAAUGGUUAAAUCUGGGUUAAUUAUAUCUAAUUUUGCUAGUAUUUUAUUUUUGCUCCAAUGUAACUGUGGGUCUUCUCCUAUAAUCCUAGUUUGUUCUGCUAAUUGUAACAAUUCUUCUAAACUCUUUGGUCUGUCUAACUGUAAGAUUUCUAUACGGGUUCCUUCAUCUAUAAUUGGAUAUUCGUGUUUAAAUAUUUCUUCAUCAAACGCAAACUCUUUUAGAUUAUUAUGCUCAUCAUUUUCUUUUGAAUUUUCCAAAUAAUAAUUGUCUUGACUACUAGAUUCUUCUAUACUUAUACUUUUGUAUGCUUCUAUGGUAUUACUUUGGUCAAUUAUUGUAAUUCCUCUUUUGAAAAAUGUUAUGCUAGGGUUCAUAAAUAAAAAACCUUGUAAACUUUUCAAAAAGUUUAAACCUAGAAUGAAUGGGUAUGAUCCUACUGGUGAGACAAAUGUUAAUGGUAGAUUAAAUUGUUGUUUUUCCACUUUAAUGGACUCAUUAUUAAUGCAAUGUGUUAAAUAGACUGGUCUUUCAUCAAACUGCGUUAUUUUCACUGGUUUUGCUAAUUUUUGUCUAUACUUUUCUGGUACUAACUCCUCUCUUAUGACACUCUUAGUACUUCCUGUAUCUAUCAUAGCUGUUGUUUGUAUCUUAUGUUCUUUUGCUAAUUCUAUUUCACAAUUUAUGGUAAUUAAAGAACUAUUUUUUGGCUUUUCUAUACUAUAAACAGUAUUUCUUAAUAUUUCAGUGCUUUCUUGUGAUUCUGCUGAAUUAAUUUCUAAUAACUUAUUAUUAUAACAAUUUUCACACAAUAUUGAAUAUGUAUUAUAGUAUUUAUUUGCAACUAAUUUAAUACACUUAUGACAUUUUUCUGCCCAACCUAAAUUAAUGUAUUUAUAUUCUUCUUCAUGCUGUUCUUCUAUGAAGGCACACAUAUUAUCUAUUCUAAAAUUGAGGAGUGAAUUAACUGUAGCUUGCCUACAGUCACAGGUUUGCCAUCCAAUUUCACCUUAUUUACAGAAGAACCCAUCACAUUCGGCCUGGUGUUAGGGCUGGGUUGUUUUGGGCCGCACAUCAAGCUUUCGCUGGGCUUUGUCAUUUGCUGUUGUGAGGCCGGCCCUUUGGGGGUCUAAAUGACGACACUGCCCAUCUGGGCUCACCAUCAGGAUUAAAGUUAAAGGGGUAGAGUUGUCAUUUCGUUCUUAGGGUUUCACAGGUAUUGGGGUUAGGUUUUCCCACUUCCCAUCAUUUCCUUCUUCUUUCUUCGGGCUAGCCGUGACGCACAGAGAAAUAAGGAGCCCUGACAGAGAGGGAUAGAUAGAGACAGAUAAAGAGAGAGAGAGGGAGAGGGAGAGGGAGAGGGAGAGGGGAGCGGUAAGGGCGGGAUGGCUGCCCAUCUGUGCUUCAAUCCAUGCCGUCACAGAGAGAUGGAGACAGAUCGAGAGAGAGAAAGAGAGAUAGAGAGAGAUAUAUAUAGAGAGAGCGAGAGGGGAGAGGUGGGGGUUCGGAUCACUGCUCAUUCUCUGUUGCAUCGUCAGAUAAGUGUUGUUUCAAAUUUAAUUUUGUACCAAAUUUUACUUUUUUUAAUUGUUUCUUGCAUUUAUGGUUACCUGCAUGUGGUGAUUGAAAGGUCAAAAAAAAUUUGCAAAUCUUUUUUCCAUAUUUGGUUAGGUUAGUCUUCUGUAUUUUUUUAAUCCGUUUGGGGAUUUUCUGGGUCUCUAUAUAUGGUUGCUUUUGGGUUUUGCAUCUCAUUCUCGGUUUCUCUCUGUCAGAUAAUAUUUCCAACGUUCGUUCCUUACCUUUUUUUUACGUUUUCUAAUUUUUCAUCUCAGCUUUUGCCAUUCGUGUUUGAUUACAAUAUUUAUGGCUGUAAUAAACCCUUUGAGUGUAUUGUUAGCUUCUGUUUAGACUAUUGUUAGUUGUUGUUAAGUUGCUGCCAUUUUUUGGUAAUUAGUAUUCAAAUUUUUUUUUUUUUUGAAAGAAGUUUGUGUUCUGUGAUUUGAAUUGGAACAAAAUCAGUAAACACAGCAGAUUGAUUUACAAUCUGUGAUUUUCUUAAAAAAUGCCAUAUUUAGGUUGAGCUAUGUUUUAAAUUAUUUGUUUUUUUGCCUCUGUGACUGUGUAUGUAGAUGUCUGUGUGUAUGUGCAAAUAUUUUUGAGCGUAUCGUUGGCUUCUGUUUUAGACUAUUAUUAGUUGUUGUUAGGUUGCUGCCAUUCUUUAAUAAUUAGUGUAAAAUUUUGUUUUUUUUUUAAAGAAGUUUUUCUUCUGUGAUUUGAAUUGGUAAUUAGUGUGUAAAACCCUUUGACUAAUUUUAAUGCGAUAUUUUUAUUUCGAUUGUUUAAGAACAAGAAAACUAACUUUUCUUCUCUUUUUUAUGGAUUGCAGGAAACGUACUGCCAACUCGGGAUUUUGCAUGGUUGCUUUUGGGUUUUGCAUCUCAUUCUCGGUUUCUCUCUGUCAAAUAAUUUUUCCAGCGUUCGUUCCUUACCUUUUUUUUACGUUUUCUAAUUUUUCAUCUUAGCUUUUGCCAUUCGUGUUUGAUUACAAUAUUUAUGGCUGUAAUAAACCCUUUGAGUGUAUUGUUAGCUUCUGUUUAGACUGUUGUUAGUUGUUGUUAAGUUGCUGCCAUUUUUUGGUAAUUAGUGUUAAAAUGUUUUUUUUUUUAAAGAAGUUUUUAUUCUGUGAUUUGAAUUGGAACAAAAUCAGUAAACACAACAGGUUGAUUUACAAUCUGUGAUUUUUUUUAAAAAUGCCAUAUUUAGGUUCAGCUCUGUUUUAAAUUAUUUGUAUUUUUGUCUCUGUGACUGUGUAUGUACAUGUCUGUGUAUGUACAUGUCUGUGUGUAUGUGCAAAUAUUUUUGAGCGUAUCGUUAGCUUCUGUUUUAGACUGUUAUUAGUUGUUUUUAGGUUGCUGCCAUUCUUUAAUAAUUAGUGUAAAAUUUUGUUUUUUUUUAAAGAAGUUUUUUUGCUGUGAUUUGACUUGGUAAUUAGUGUGUAAAACGAUGGGAAGUUUAACUGUUUGCGGAUUAAUCUUGGUUUCAUUUUCCGUAUGUGUUUAUUUUUGGCCAAUGAAUUUUAGAGUGUUGUUAUUUGUUGUUAAGUUGCUGCCAUUUUUUGGUGAUUGGCAUUAAAAACCUUUAUUUUUUGAAGAGGUUUUUUUUUUUGGGUGAUUUUAAUUGGAACCCUUUAACUACACAUGUUUUUAGAGUGUGCACAUCUAUAUGUAUGUGUGUGUACAUGUAAAAAACUCUGUAACUCACUGCACAUUUUUAUAACUGUGAAACACUCCCAUUUGCUGAAAAGUGCAGUUUAUAUGUGUACAUGUGUAUAAAUGUAUGUGCAAGUAUAUGUGUCAGUGUAUACCUAAGUAUAUGUCUAGAUAUAUGUAUAGGCGCCUAUAUAACUAUAUGUAUAUCUGUGUACAUGUGUAUAUGUAUGUAUGGGCACCUGUAUAACUAUAUUUAUAUCUAUGUACAUGUAUAAGUACCUGUACAACUAUAUGUAUAUACGUAUGUAUGCAUGCAUGCAUCUGUGUGUAUGUCUGUAUGUACAUGUAUAUGUAUGUAUGCAUGCAUGCAUCUGUGUGUGUAUGUACAUGUAUAUGUAUGUAUGCAUGAUGUGUGUGUAUGUACAUGUAUAUGUAUGUGUACAUGCAUCUGUAUGCGUCUGUCUGUGUAUGUACAUGUAUAUGUAUGCAUGCAUGCAUCUGUAUGCGUGUGUGUGUAUAUACAUGUAGAUGUGUGUAUAUGUAAGGUUUAGGGUUUAGAUAAUUUGUGUGUGAGUGUGGUCUUUAAUGUUUGGGGAAAAUUUCUAAGUUGGUUACUAUUACAGGAUUAGUGGUGAUGGAUUUGCUAUGUUUGUGAAUUUCAGAAAUUUGGAUACUCGAAGGAAACACUUGGGCCUUUAGCUUUUUGAGGUAUAUUCAUUAAUGGCGGUUUUCUAACUAUAGAAUAGCAUUCAUUUCCAAUAUUUUUGGUAUUUUGCCAUGGUUGUAAUUCACAUUUAAAGGUGUAAAAACAGGUGUGUUGUAUAUAUAUAUAUGGAGUUGGAAUAUAUGUCGACUGUUACAAGCAAAUAUAGUGUUGACUUAUAAACGAUUUUCCCAUCCUCAUUUACAUGUUCAAUGUAGACUUAAUUAUGCUAAUCAGCCUCUGUUGCAAAAACGAAUCUCCUUUGUGGCUAAGUGAAAACAUGCAGAUCAUCUUAUUUUAUUAAUUUCAGCAUAAAUUAACACUUGCAUUUGAUCAGUGUGAGUAAGUAUGUAAUGUAUGGAAAAAAAAACAGUUUAGUUUCAUUACGAUUUAUUCAAAAAGAUUUAUAAAUAUUUGCCUUCGCGUAUUGUUUACUUAUAAAAAAAAAUUGAAUUAUUUGGUUCAUUAACAUUAUAUUUAAUUUGUGAUUCAGAGAAAAUAAAAUGGUGAAAGAGAUCGAUCGAAAAGAACAACAAAUUUUAGGAGGGGUUUUGGUAAAAGAUUUAAGAAGCUUGGUAAUAGCUCGAAAAGAAGAACAGCUUCGAGGGACAAAAUUGUUUUAUUCAGAGACUGGUCCAGGACCCAGCACAUCAAGAGCACGAAAAAUAGAAAAAACAAGAAUGGGUUUACGUGUCUAUGGAAAAGGUGUCAAUCGAAACAAAUUAGUGGUUCACACUAUGUAUUCACCUAGAAAUCGUAGUAAUCCACCGAAAGAAAAAUGGGCAGAAGAGCUUUUUUGGGUUGUACAAUUGGAUUUGCAAGUUUGAUCGCCCAAAGAAGAUUGGGAUGCUCCUUCUCUGGUUCAUCUCCACUGUAGUGGUUUUUUGGAUUUUAAAAAAUAUGUAGGGAUCAUCUAGAUUUUAAAUUUUUAAAAAAGGUUUUGUAAACCUUUUUUGGUUGCUUGGUAACCAUAAUGAUGUAAACGAUGAAGUGGUUUUUUGAAUUGUAAAAUAUGUAGGGAUGGGUGGAAUUUUGAAUUUUAUAAAAAAGGUUGCGUAAACUUUUUUGUUGGCUUACAAGCAUAAUGAUGUAAACAAUGAUCACCCUUAUCGAUAUAAUAAUUAAGUGUUGUUGCUACUCAUUUUCACACCUUUGUGGCUUUGAUUAAUUCAUUUUUGCCUUUGACAAAAAAAAAAAUAUAUAUCAUUUCUACCUUAAUGCAAUUUUUCCCUGAUUUUGUGAUUUGACAAAAUUGAUGUUCAUAUUCCAUUUACUAAAUCACAAAAAUAAUCACAUUAUUCAGUGGUGAUUCAUGUUUUGCUUCUGCUUUGAUUUACUUUGAUUUUUUUGUUAUUUAUUUUUAUUAGCUGGUUAAUCCAUUGUUUAGCUAGGAUUGUUCUUCUUAUUUUUUAUUCCAUUGUGUUGUGUAUGUGCUUACAUUUUUAGCCUUUUUUGGUUGGUUAUUUUUUUAUUAUCCAGGUUUUCGCAAUUAAUUGCUUACGCUUGCCAGUGAUUCCUUUUGCAACUGAAACUGGUUAGCUUUCUCGAUUUUUACAUAUGAAUUGGUUUUAAAAUUAAACAUUAAUCUCAUUUACUUUCUUUAUUUUAUUUUAGAGGAUUAAAAAAAGUAGUUAGUUUUGGUAAAUGUGGAUGAAUGUUUUAGGUCUUACCAUAGUUUACAUGUGGUUUCUUUGAUUUUGUUAUUUAUGCCUAAAAACUUGAGAAUGUUUGACAAGACCGCUAAUAUUAAGUGGUUUUUAUUGCUGGUGUUGACCUAAUUUAAUUAGAUGAUUUAAUUAGGAUUUUGUUUUUGUGGUUAUAUUUUGGAUGUAUUUGUGUUUUUUAAUAGUGCAUUCUUUACGUGUGGCGAUUUGAUUUGUAAGUAAGGCUUAGUCAUUCGCAUGUUCUUUUUGUUUUUAUUUGCGUAGUAUUAUGCCUAGAAAAGUCCGAAUAUCUGCGAGGGCAGCUAAAAUUCAACACACCAACUUAGGCGUUUUCAAUGGCGAUGUUUAUCCGGAUGAUGUGAUUUUGCAAGAUGUCCCAACUUCUUAUGAUCAAGAAUAUAACAAAGUUUCACACUCUUUACUGUUUCAUAACAAUACAACCAAUCAUGUCCAACCCAAUACAUCUGUUUUUGAAACAAAAUGCAUUCAUUGCCAAUGGAUUCAACUCAUCUUCGUCCGCUGCUAGCACUUCACAUGAAAUUACCAUCCCUGUUUUCCUUGCCAAUGAUGCCACUUUGCGUGGUAUAUUGAUCUCUGAUACUCAAGACGAUCAUCCUGUUAGAAGCUCACAUGUGAUUGGCCAGGCCGCUUAUCAAAAAAAAAGAAAACGUAUGCGCUCUCUGACAAUAUAGUCCUCUUUGCAUUGUUUUUAAACUUAUUUUAGAAGUUAACUUUGGUUCGCUACUUUGGGGAUGAUUGUGUCAUCUUUCUUUUCAUAGGUGUUGAUCCAGACUAUGUUGAUUUUGGCCCUAGAAAUUCUCAAUGUCAAUAUUGUGGCGCUUUGUUUUGGUCUACUGAGCGGUUAAAAACAAACGUUUCUUCUAUUAGAAGGCCACAGUUCACUGCAUGCUGUAUGAGUCAAAAAGUUAAAUUCCCACCUGUUAAGCCCACUCCCUGCUUAUUUGGAACAUCUGCUAAAUUCAACAAAUUCUCAAGAAAGUUCGCAUUUCAAAACAAAUGUUAGGUUGUAUAAUUCAAUGAUGGCAUUCACUUCAAUGGGGGCUAAAGUUGAUGCAUCGAUAAACAAGGGUCAAGGUCCUUACGUUUUUAAGAUUAAUGGUCAAGUGCAUCAUUUAAUGGGUUCUUUGUUGCCUCCUGAAGGUGAGAGCCCUAAGUUUGCACAGCUCUACAUUUAUGACACUCAAAAUGAAAUCAAUAAUCGUAUGAGUUGUUUUCCUCAUUCAGAAGAAUCUUCGAAGGUUGACGAACAAAUUGUUAGUGGGCUCAUUAAGAUGUUAGAUGAGUGUAAUGAGUUGGUUCAGUUAUUUAGAGUCGCAAGGGAUAGGAUUAAUGAACAGUCAACAAGUUCUCUGCGCUUGCGUUUACACGGCACACCGAGCAACCAUGAUGCGCAAUAUAAUCUGCCAACAUGUGAUGGCAUAGGAGGGUUAAUAGUUGGGGAUAUCGGUCAGUUUCAUACCGAAAGAGAUAUUAUUGUUGAACACACAGGGCAACUGGCCUACAAAGGAUAACAAAGUUGCAUCCAAAAUAUAUGGCCCUUCAAUAUCCUCUUCUUUUCCCAUAUGGUGAAGAUGGAUACAGUAAAGGUCUCCCUUGGAAUCCAGAUUUCAAAGGGAAAAAACCCAAGACUGGCGGAGUGUCUAUGAGAGCAUUUGUGGGUUACCAAAUUCAGGAUAGACCAGGACAGGAUAGCACCCUGUUAAAGGGUGGCAGAUUAUUUCAACAAUAUUUAGUAGAUGCAUAUGCCACACUUGAAGAAGAUAGACUUGAUUUCAUUAGGGCAAAUCAAAAUUCCUUGAGAACUGAGCAUCUUAAGGGAAUUCAUGAGGCGUUGAGAAAAAGGAAAUGCAAGUGGUUCCGACAUUGGUAAGAGGAUUAUCUUGCCAACUUCAUUUACUGGCAGUGCUAGAUACAUGAUAAAUAUAUUAUCAGGAUGCUAUGGCUAUAUGCCGUCACUUAGGAAAUCCUGAUUUAUUUAUCACAUUUACAUGCAAUGCUAAGUGGCCUGAAAUUAUCGAAGAUCUACGUGAAAGACUUGGUUGUAGGGUUGAAGACAGACCAGACAUUGUAUCCAGAAUUUUCAAAGCAAAACUUGACCAUAUGGUUAAGUAUAUAAAAUCAGGAAAACCUUUUGGCAAAGUUGAAUCUGAUUAGUUAUUGUCUUUUCUCAGUUCUCAAGAUUAUUUGUUUCUUUUCUCUUAUAAGCAUAUACAUCAGGCGUUCUGUUUUGAUUUUUUUUUUAUCUUAUAUUUCUCAAAACAGUGAUUUACACAGUCGAAUUUCAAAAAAGAGGUCUCCCACAUUGCCACAUCUUGGUUUGGGUCAGUAAAGAGUAUAAGUGUCAUUCUCCUUCUGAUGUGGAUUCAAUCAUUUCGGCUGAAAUUCCUAACCCAGAAUUUGACAAAGAUGGGUAUGAUGUUGUUGCGCUGUACAUGAUUCAUGGUCCAUGCGGUCUUGCAAAUGAAAAAUCCCCUUGCAUGAAAGAAAAAAAAUGUUUAAAGAGAUUCCCAAAACAUUUUUCAAAUGAAACUACUUUUGAAUCUGAUGGUUUUUUGUGAAAUACAAGCGUAGAGAAAUGGAAAAUUGUUUUGUUGUAAAAAAUGGAGUGAAGCUUAAUAAUGCGUUUGUUGUUCCUUACAAUCGUGAAUUGUUAUUAAAGUAUCAAGCACAUAUAAAUGUUGAAUCGUGUUGUCAAUCAAUGCUUAUUAAAUAUCUUUUCAAGUAUAUAACCAAGGGUGUUGAUAGGGCCAGAGCUGUUUUUGAGGAUCAAGAGUUUGAUGAAAUUGUGGCUUAUCUAAAUUGCAGAUAUUUAUGCCCUUAUGAAGCAGUUUGGAGAUUGUUACAAUUUCAUAUUCACUUUAGAGAACCAGCUGUUCAAAGAUUGUGUGUCCAUCUUCCUUCUGACCAAAAUGUUGUUGUCUAAGAGGAUGAUAAUUUAAACUAUGUUGUUAAUCAACCUAAUCUUGAAAGCACAAUGUUAACAAAAUGGUUUGAAAUGAAUGCUCAAGAUCCUGAUGCAUGCCAGUUAUCUUAUGUUGAAUUUCCUUCGAAAUAUGUUUGGAAUAGUGAAAAUAAAGAGUGGACUCGAAGGAAAAGUGGUAGAUGUCUAGGUAGAGUUGCGUAUGUUCACCCUGCUGCUGGUGAAUUAUACUAUUUGAGAUUAUUGCUUAAUUAUCAAAAAGGUGGCUUUUGUUUUGAUGAUUUAAGAACAAUUAAAGGUGUUCUUCAACCCACAUUUCAAGCUGCAUGCAACUCACUAGGUCUGUUAGGAGAUGAUAAGGAGUGGAACAACGCAAUGUUAGAAGCGAUGGUUACUGCAUCAUCGUAUCAAUUGCGACAAUUGUUUGUUACAUUAGUUUUGUUUUGUGAUGUUGCUGAUCCAACAACUUUGUUUGAGACACAUUGGAAAAUGAUGUGUGAUGACAUCUUGACAAAGAUGGUUAAUGCUUUUGGCUUGCAGGAUAUGUCUAAGUAUGAGGAUGAACUUAGAAAUUCUCUUUUGUAUGAGUUAGAAAAGUUGUUUGUAGUUUCAAAUAGUUCUCUGUCUAAACAUCACCUCCCAGUUCCAAACAAAGAUUUGAUGGAUAGACUUAAGAAUAGAAGUUUAAGAGAGGAGUUAAACUAUGACUCUGAAUCACUUAAAGAACAACAUUCAAUAUUGAUGGCACAGUUGAAUCAAGAGCAAAAAAUAGUUUAUGAUAGUGUUAUAGAGGUUGUUGAUGGCAACAAGCCUGGUCUAUUUUUUGUUCAUGGACAUGGUGGAACUGGUAAGACUUUUUUGUGGACCACUAUCAUAGCUAAGAUUAGAUCAGAGAACCGUAUUGUUUUGGCGGUUGCUUCGUCUGGAAUUGCCUCCCUUUUGCUUCCUGGCGGAAGAACUGCACACUCUCGAUUUAAAAUGCCUAUCAGCAUUACAGAUUGUUCAAUUUGUGAAAUAAAAAAAGGAACUCAUCUAGCACAAUUAAUUAGUAAUGCAGCUCUUAUUGUUUGGGAUGAAGCACCAAUGAAUCAUAAACAAUGUUUUGAAACUUUAGAUAGAUCUCUUCGUGAUGUUCUUAAAGGGUCUAAACCAGGUUUUGAUAAUUUGCCAUUUGGAGGAAAGCCAAUUCUCUUUGGAGGUGAUUUUAGACAAAUUUUGCCUGUUGUUCCAAAUGGAACUAAAGCUGACAUUGUUGAAGCUUCAUUGACAAGUUCUUAUCUUUGGCCUUAUCUAACUGUUUUUUUUCUCAAAGAAAACAUGAGGCUUUCAAAAACUGGUUUGAAUGAGCAGGAAAAACAGGAGUUAGCUGAUUUUGCAAAUUGGAUAUUACAAAUUGGAAACGGUAAUGUUGCUAAUUCUAUAUUGUCAACUGAUGAAGAAAGUUCUUGGGUUGAAAUUUCAAAAGACUUUCUUAUUAAUUUUGAUGAUGAUCCUAUCGAAAAUAUGGUUUCAGCGGUGUACACAGAUUUUAAAACAAAUUUUCAUGAUGUAUCAUAUUUGAAAGAAAGAGCCAUUGUCACACCGCGAAACAACACGGUAACUGAGAUAAAUGAUUUUAUGUUGACUAUGGUGCCUGGCGAAGCUCGCACGUACCUCAGUUUUGAUUCUGUGUCUUCUUCGACAGAAAAUGUUGAAAAUCUUGAUAUACUUUAUCCGCUAGAAUUUUUGAACCAACUUGACUUACCUGGUUUGCCGCACCACAAGCUAGCAUUGAAAGUUGGUAUGCCAGUAAUGUUGCUUAGAAAUUUAAAUCAAAGUUGUGGAUUGUGUAACGGGACAAGGUUGGUGGUGAUGCAGUUAACUGAUAGAAUUGUGGAAGCAAAGAUCAUAACGGGUAGCAAAAUUGGUGACAAAGUUUACAUUCCAAGAAUCAUUACGGAGUCAUCAGAAAAUAAAUAUCCGUUUACUUUGCGGCGAAGACAAUUUCCUCUUAGAAUUUGUUAUGCAAUGACAAUUAAUAAGAGUCAAGGACAAUCUUUGAAGAUUGUUGGGUUAUUUCUAUCUCAAACAGUUUUUUCUCAUGGACAGCUCUACGUUGCAUUGUCUAGGGUCACCUCAAAACAAGGUCUUAAAAUUGUGAUUGCUCAUGAUAGUGAUAUGCCUUAUGGAUACACAAAAAACAUUGUUUAUAAAGAUGUUUUGAAUUGUUUACAUGAAGGUGUGUUGAUUUGUGUUUGUCCAUUCAUUUUUUUUUUCUCUUUUUGUCUAUUUUUCAAAAUUCUAAUGUAUUCUUUGUUUCAUGUGUGUUGCACGAUUUUGAGGAUUUUAUUUGCUUCUAAAUUUACUUUAUAUAGAUUGAUGGAGCAUAUGCCAGUUCGUCUUCUGUUACCAUACAAGCCAACAAGAAAACUACAAAUUAGGAUAUGCAGAAUUUGGGUGACAAAAAAUAUUGGAGCUGAUCGUCAACCUGCAAGUUUGGACUGUGUCUUUGUUGACAAAGAGGUUACAUCUUUACACAUUUUUCUCAUUGUUAUAUAGACACAGUUUUAUAUUUGUCGAAAUGCAUCUAUCAUACUUUCAGUAUUAAUUCGAUUUUUCCUUCUCAUUGAUUAACAUUCCAUCUUUUUUGUGUUCAAUUGUGGUUUGCAGAAAUUUCUGAAGUAAAAUAUUCAUUAAAUGUUUUGUGAAAUAGGCAUUUUUCAAUAGCGUAGUUGUGCUGUUGGUUUUUUGAUGAUGUGCUUAAUGUUUAUUUUGGAUUGAAUUUCAACUUCUACAUAGAUUUAUGAUUAGUAAACUCUCAUGGCAGUUUGGAAAUGAUAAUUUGUUCACGAGCUUAUUUACUACUUUAAUGAUUAAUUUAAUUUUGUUUUUCCUCUCUAAAAGGGACAUGCAAUUCAGGCGACCAUGAAACCCUGGGACAUCCAAUUCUUUUUGGACCGUCUAAAAGUUGGGUUCGUGUACAAGAUAGAUAAAUUUCGUCUUAUCAAUAACAGAAAGUCAAACAAAAUUGUCCCUCAUGAUGCCAUGGUUGAGUUGAACAAAAACACUACCAUAGUCCCAGUUGAGAAACCAAAUCAACUGAUCCCGAUGCAUUGGUUUAAUUUAAUUGAAUUUGAUGAGCUUCACAAGAAAGUCGAUAGAGAUGUAAACCUUACAGGUAAAGCGUCUAAUUUUGACUAUUGCCACUACUCUAAAAUUAUUAUUCUUAGUUUUUAACUUAAUUUAGCUUAAACUGGUUCUUAUAACUAUAUCAUACAUAGAUGUUUUUUGGUUGUUUGAUGGCUUUACAACCGAUUGAGGAAAUCACUGUGCAAAAUAUUAGAGUUGAGAAAAAGCGAGACCUCAAACUUCAAAAUACUAGGUGAACCAUACUACUCAUACACUGUUAUUGCAUAUUUAUACAAAUAUAGUCGUAUAAAAAUUACAUAGAAAGUUCUGACUUUAUUUUAUAAUUGUAGAGGUGAACAAGUUACAGUAACACUAUGGGCAGAAACUGCAACAAGUUUUCAAGACGAUGCAUUGCAGUCACUUUCGUCGCCUCUCUUCAUUGUUUUGACUUCACUCAAAGUGAAGAAAUACAAAGGUUAUACCUUAACAAAAUCUAUAUGUGAUCACUUUACUUUUGUAUUGAUAAUUGUUAUCUUUCUAUUUAUAGGAAAACCUGUUUUGGGGAGCACAGGCUCAACAGUUUGUAUUUUCAAUCCUGAUAUCCCACAACUUUCAGAAUAUAAACAACAGUAGGUGAACAAAUCUUAUUUAAUGUUUUUUUUUUGUUUAUGUUUUUACCAUCUAUAUUCUUGAACCAAAAAAUGUGAAAAUCAGGUUUGAACACCUCAAAACACCCAUUGAAAUUCUACAAACUUCUGCUGAAAAGUAUGGAAAGGGUGCUGUUAUAGCUGAUUCUGAACAGAAGACAAUUGAACAACUGCUUCUUCUUGAUCCGGCAUUAAACAAGGUCAAUCCAUUAUCACUAAAUCGUCUCAUGUUUUGUCGAUUUUAUUUUACAACUGCUUUCCAAUUGAUUGUUUGUUGUCAUUUGGAAAUGACAAAUUGUUUCUUAAUCUAUACUGUGUUGUGCAUACAAAGUGUCGUGUUUUUUGUUUCUUUGUUCAUUUAUAAGCUUUUGUGCAAAAAAUUAUACAACUUAUCUUUCAUGAUUCAAUGUACAUUCUCCAAAAUGUUACCUCAUGUCCAAAAUAUGAAUUCUGUUUUAUAAUUUGGGUGGAAAUGCAUAUACUAAGGUACAAGUGUCAUGUUUGGGAGUUUAUUCUUAAAUGUUUUUUGUAUUUGAAAAUUUAAUAUCAUAUCAGAAUACAAGUUUCGUAUGCCAAGCAACAAUUGUCGAUUACGAUUUGACCAAAGGAUGGUGGUACAAGUCGUGCCCGUAUUGCCACAAAAGUGUCAAGAAUACAUAUGGAACUUUCCAGUGCUUUGAACAUGGGUCACUCGAAAAAAUGCCUGAGCCAUGGUAAUUUAUUAAUUUAUUUUUUCUACACUCUUUAUAUCUCUUUGCAAUGAACAUGAUUUUUAUUCCAAGAUUUUUUUUUUAAAUUGCUAAACUUACAUCAUUAUAUCUUUGUCAUUUAUUUAGGUUUAAGAUGAAUUUUAUUGUGGAUGAUGCCACAAAUCAAUUCAACUUCUUAGUGAUCGGAAGGACUGCUGAAAAACUUUUGGGUAUCUCUUGCCACUCUUUGGUCAUAGAAGAAGGCUACGAUGACUCUUCUGUGUUGCCACCGCACCUUCAAAAAUUGGUUGGCAGCACAAAAAAGUUCCAAGUCCGUUUUGGUAAUCAAAACAAUGAGUUUGGCAACACCGACUUUGUUGUUCAUGGAAUAAUUGAGGAAGAAGCAUUAGUUCACCCAAAACUUAGUUCGAUUGUACCACGUACACCUGCUACCAACACCGGGAAACAAGUUAUUGAUGCAGCAACCCCUAUCCCUAUUACUACCCUGGAAUCCCAAAUCCGACAAAUCAAAUCAGUUGCGACAAACAAGAAUGUAAAGAGGACACUAUUUGUUGAAAAUGAAACUUCAAAAACUCACAGGUUAAGUUUCCCCUUCACAUAAUGUUGGUAUUCCAUUAAAUAAAAACAUCAUGCAUGCACUUUAUAACGUUCAUUUCCAUCCUUUUUAAAUUUAACAUGUUUUCACAGCAAACAUGAUGAGGGGAGCCAACCACUGUCUACUAAUUCAACCAGAAUCUCGGCAGAAAUCUCUAACUUGGUUGUCCCAAAAGUUGAACCUGCAGACAAAACGCCGAUCAGUACAUUAAGAAGUAGAUCACAAGCAAAGAAAAUCAAGGACAGGUAUAAUGAGUUAUUGCUUACAAUAAUAUAUGCCAACUUGAACAAUUAUUGAAUUUUUGUUCUUAUUUGCUGCUCAGUGUUGGAGAUGUUCAUUCGCAAAAGAAAUGAGCUAUAGAAGACUUUAUCAUGGACUGCUGCAAAGGAUCGAACAUAUGUAUUUUUUGGCUAUUCCACUGUUAUAAAUAUAUACUUUUUGGGCAUUCCACUACUAAAGUUGUCUUAUUAUUUUAUGCAACUGUUGGAACAAUAGAAAGCCUUGCAGAACAUGUAUUUUGUUAUGUUGCAUGCAGAAACAAAAUAUGUGUAAACUGCAUGGUAUUUCAGUCUUUGAUGCAAAGACACUAUAUUUUAUCAUUUGCAACUUUUGUCAUUAUAAACUUUCCUUCAAGUAAUUUCGAUUGUAUAUUGUCUCUCGAUGUCAACUUAAUAGAGUAGCAAUGUAAAUUGAAUGGCUUAUUUUAUGUAUCAAUUCACCUAUCUUUUACUUUUUCUUUUAUGAAUAUUAUACAUGGUUUGAAUACCCGCAGCAAAGCGCGGGCAUUCCUCCUAGUACUCUUCUAAAUCACUAUUUGUGUUACUUGAAUCUUCUGAGUCUGAAUCUAUCAUGUUAAUACUCUCUAUACUAUAAAUACUCUCAUUAUCACUUAAAUUAUCUAAACUGUAUAUUGACUGAAUAUCCUCAUCUUCUUCUAGCUUAAGUAACUCCAUCAAAUGUACUUUCUCUUUUGACUGUUUACCUAGUUUUGGACAUUUAGGUCUAAUAUGUCCAGCUUCUCCACAUAAAUAACAUUUACAAUUACUCUUAUCUUUUGGUGCUUUAUAUUUUCUAAUCCAAGGUUUGCCACUUCUUUUUCUAAAUUGUUUUGGAAUAUAUUUUCUCUUCCUAUAUGUUCUUGAAGGUCUUAUACUAAAAUUCUUAUGCUGUUUGUACGGUUUAUAUGACUUAUAUUUCUUUUUGUGUAUUUUCUUAUGCUUAUUUUUCUUAUGACAACCAUACUGUUGUGGUAAAUCUAUGUUUUUACAACUCAUGUAAAAUUGUUUCCUAAUUUGUCUCUUAGCUUUUAUUUGACUACACUCUUGUCUAAGUAUAUCGUAUACAUGUUGAAUUCUAGGUCCUAUUGCAAUAUCAUUUUUCUUUGGAUGCUUUUGCCAUUCAUUCCAAAUCUUUUCUCCUAUUGGUCCUUUUAUUUUUGUCAUAUAAGUAUCUAAUAAAUUAAUAUCACUAAUUCUACCUGUUCUACCUAAAUAUUUAAAGAAAUCAGUGGUAUAUUCAGCUAUAUAUUGUAAAUCACAAAUUUGUAAUUGUUCUAAAUUUCUAAUUGCUCUUUUCUGCUCUUGUUCACUUCUGCCAUCUAAUCUAUUAUGAUCUAAAAAUUCUUGUUUAAUCAAAGUAACAAAACCAUCAAUAUUAAAAUGUGUUUUAGCUGCCUGAUGCUGUUCUGGAUUUUGGACUUUCCAUGACUGGAAAUAAUCAAAAACUAAACCAUCUAAAGUAUGCUCAAAAUAAUCUAGCAUAUUUUGUGAAUUACUAAAAUCUAACAUCAAUGCUGCAUGUACGCAACCUUUUUCCCAUCUUUCAAUUGUUCUCUCCCAAUCUUGUGGAUCUACAUUGUCUAAGUUUAAUAUAUUACCAGCUAUAUUAAUUUGUUCUAACCCUCUCAAAUAUGGAAUCCUAUUUUUUCUAGGUUUUAUCAGGCUUUCUUCUAUGCGGUCUACUCUUGCUCCUUCAUUAUAAUGUUUAUUUGUUGGUCUCAAAAAUUGUUGAUCAGUUCUACUUGCUUGUCCUGGAUUUUCUACUCCUGAUGUACUACUUUCUUCUGCUGGAUUACAUUCUUCUUUUAAUUCUAAUAAAUUAUUAUAUUCUUUUGAUCCUAAAAUAUGUUCUACUCCUAUUUCUAAGAUUAAAAUUUUCAUCUCCUCAUCUAAAAUUUUAUGUAGUCCUAAAUCAUAUGUCUUAUAUUUUUCUAAAUACUUUUCUUCAUCUAAAUGAUCAAUAUCUUCUAUAAGCUUGUCUACAAUAUGAUCAAAGUUUUGCUCAACUAAAUUAAUAUCUAGAUUAUCAAAAGCCAUAUGUAUAUUCUCAUUUUCGAUCUCACUCUCAUCCUCUUCUAUUUUUUCUAGUUGUUUAUAAUUACUAAACCUAAUUGUUGCUUGACCUGUACUAGUUUCAUAUAUUUGUACUUUAUCUGGUUGUCUAUUUUGUGCUACUUGUAAAUUGGGCAAUGUCCACUGAGUUCCUUCUAAAAAGCUAUUAUCUACGGGUUUUGCUUCUAUCAUAUUUACAUGCUUACUGCCAAACGUUUGGACUAAAUUUUGAAACUCUAAAUUAAACUUAUGAUUAUAUCUAUCAGACACUUUACCUAUAUACAUUAAGCUAAUACACAAAUUUUUAUAUUCUCCUUUCAUAUUAUAAUUUUUUGUUCUUAUGCUCACUUUAAUAUAUUUUACUAAAUUCAUUAAUCGUCAUAACAUAAUUUGGAAUGCAACCUAUGACUGCUAAGUUUGAACUUAAGUCUACUUCAGCUGUUGCUAUUGCUGCUUGUUGGUGAUUAUCCCAUCUAUCAUCAUAUAUGUAUACUAAAGCCUUUGUACCUACUUGUGCUCUGGUUAAUCCUGCUAUUCCAAUUAAUAUUGUUCCUAUAUGAAUCUGACUAAAAUGUGAUUUUCUCAAAUGAGUAACUGCUUCUUUACUAAUUAGAUUAAGUGUGACUUCUUUAUCAAUACAACUAACUUCAUGUUGACUGAUGCUGCUUACAAUUCUACUUCUGUUUUCAAAUAAACCUAGUUGAUACAAGUUAUAUUUUAUUUUUUCUGUGUUCUCUCAAAACCUCUUCGAAUAAAUUCUUGUGCUUCUUCUUCAUUUGGAUAAAUAUUUUCCGCUCUAACUACUUCUUUUCCUUUUUUCCUAAAGAGUUCCAUUUUCUAUUAUCAAAAGGAUUUAGCUUAGGUCUUCUAUUAUUAUUUGCACUCAAAGUUAAAUUUUCUAAUUUAUCUAGCAAGGAUGGUGGAAGUGAUGAAGAUGCGUUAUGUAAAACUUGGUUUAUUUCUGCUAUUUGUUCUUCAACUUGAUCUAAUUUUUCAGCUAGACUUAAAACUAAUUGGAUAAUCAAAUUAUUUUGCCUAAUGGGAAUAUUACUACUGGAUACUUGUGUUGAAAAAUCUGUUAAUCCUACUGGUUCUUUAUAUCUAAUUUACUAAUUUCUUUCAAAGCUUGAAUAUAUUUUCUGCUAGUUCUAGAAUCUGUCAUUAAACUAAUAAUUUGUCUAUUUUAUUAUGCAACUUAUCUACUUGUUCUCUCAACUCCUUUUGUACGAAUUGAAUUUUUUGAACUUCUAAUUUUAGUUGUUCAACUAUUUCUAAUGACCUAAGUUCUACUUGCUUUGGCUUACUAUCUAUGAGGUCAACAAGCUCUUUUAUCUCUCUUUUGCUAGGAAACCUUUGAAUAUUUUUAUUAUUAUCUUCUAACUGAGAUGUAAUAUAAUCUAAAUUUUGUCUAAUUAUCUUUAUGGAUUUUUUUUGAAAAUGUUCUAACAACUGGUUUAACAAAUGAUUAUGCUUAUUAUUUUCUAAUUUUAUAUUUUCUGCUUGACUAAUAAUAAGAUCUAUAAUACUAUUGGCUUGCGGAUUUUCUUCACUGUGCAAAAUAUGAUUAUGCUUUCUUGAUGGAAAAUAACAAACUAAACUAUUUUGGUCUAAAGUUAUUUUUCUUUUUUGGGGUUCACUAAUUUCUAAAUUAAGAUAAUCUAUCAUAUACUAUAGUCUACCUUUCUCUAAAGUUACAGCUAAUUGGUUUCUUAGAACCUCUCUUUCUUCUCUCAGGGUCUCUAAAACUUGGUCAGUUACUCUUUUUGCUUCUAAAACUUUAUGCUGCACUUCAGUGUUAUUAUAUUUACUAAUAAAUGAAGGAUGUUCAAGAUAACCAAGAUAAAACUUUUGCUUCUUCAAGGUCCUGCUAAUUCUUUUGGAUAUAAAUGAUAGUCUUCUCUUUAUGCUAUUUAUAGUUGGAUGUCUAGGACAAUAAAUACCUGGUAAUUGUGGUUGACAAGGUCUACAGGGACAAUAAUAUCUGUUAUUCAUACAAAAUAAACAAGUGUGUGAUAUCAGUUGCUUUAAUGACUUCCGUCCUCAAGGUACUUUACUAUUAUAAUCAUAUUAUUAAAAUGCUAAACUUGGCUCUGAUACCAAAUUCGAAAAGCAUGCAUGGUUAAAUAGUCAGAUGACCAUUAUAACAACUAGACAUAGAACCUUGCACAUGGAACUCGACAUGUUUCAGCAUGACGGCCACUCACAGUACAAGUAUAAGGCCUUAACGGCUGAACUCAGAGGUACAAAGAACUCAGAGGUACCCUGGUUAAUGUCUAGUUAUUUGUAUGGCAAGCAUUCAACUAUAACAGAGUGCUCGAACAAAGUAUGAUCGUCAGUUUAGCAGAUUAAUAAUAUAAUCACAAUAGUGUUUCCCUGUUUUGGACUAGAAGUCUAAUUAAACAAACACACUAAAGAAGGAAAAGAAAACUUACUUAAGACUUCAAGAUUGCUUGAAUAUGUACACUUGAACUUUUAUUGAUAUAUGGAAUGUUUACAGAGAUGGUUGUUUACAAGAAAGUGAUUACAAAGAAGUGUUUACAAGGAUGCUAUGAAGACUACGAAUGCUUGAGUGUAUGGUGUUUUCAGAUAUUGAGAUAUGUGUGUGGUAUUCAGGUGUCUUCUGUAUGGGAGGAAAAACUCCCUUAUAUACAAAAGCUGAUUCCUAAACAACAAAAUAAUUUUUCAAUAUUUACAACUUUUUGAUGGUGACAACACACUGUUUCUGAAAGCUGUCAGCACUGUUUCUGAAAGCUGUUGAAAGCCACGUGAAUCCAUAUUGUCUUGGUUGCUGCAAAGUUUGCCACCUUAUCUUUGGCAUGCAAAAUUUUUCUGAAAUUGCUAAGCAAUCUUGUAUGGAUGUGUGAAGGGCAUGAUUGGCAUUUUUGCUAAGUUUUGUCCUGAUGAUUAAAGUGAAACUUUUGAGGGUGUUUUGGUUAGUUUUCCAUUUAUUUAAACGUUACAAUUAGUGAUAUACAUGCAAACGUACAUUUUGUUUGGGCUGGAUUAGUUACAUAUGGAGAUGGGGGGAGGGUGUGGAAUGUCAGGGAGAGGAAGGGAGAGGGAGGUCUACAUCUCAGAGCCCAGCUCGAGUCCUUAGGUAAAACCCUAUUGUUCCCUGUUUUUCUUUUCAGCAUCUUACAAAACUAUUUCUUUCUUCAUAUUCUCUUUAUGUUUGGCUGAAAAUUCUGAGUUGCCGACUCCCACUGUCUUCCUUCUCGACUUAUUUGCCAAAAUCUUUUCAGUUUCAGCAGCAGUGGCCACCACUCUUCCCCAAAGGUAAAUUUCUCCUCUUUCUUAGAUUCAUAAUCUUCAAAAUCCUCCUCUACAUCGUUUGAUUUCUGCAAUUUGGAUUCCACAGAAACAUGGACUUGCUUUUUUCUCUCUGCAGCGCUGCCCAUUUUCCACCAAAAUCACAUCUUAAACUCUUCCAAUUUCGAACACGAGAUGUCCGGAGAAGGUCAGUACCCUCAGUCAUACCCAAUUUACCCAAAUAUAAUUUUAAUAUCAGCGAUGGGUUCGUGUUCUCUCGGAAAUUUGCUCUGUUGCUUCCCGCUUUGUUUGACUGCAUCUUUCUUUGUUUUAACUUUCAUUUUUGUUUUGCUUUGUGUUCUCUCGCCGUCAAACGAUGUUCUCUUUUUGUGAGGGUUGUCGUCCCAAAACGUUGUUGUCUUUCUGUGAGAGUUGUUGUCUAAAAAAUUUCUAAAUAUUUCUCUCUCUGUGUAUUGAGUCUAGGAUUUGGGUCUAUUUUGAAGGCAUCUUCCUUUCUGUGAAGCUGAGGAGCAGAUUCGUGAGAUUGAGUAUUCUUCUAAACCCCUCUUUUUCGUUGAUGGGUUUUGUAUAUAUGGGUGAAUUUUUAUAUUUCAUUCUUCAGUUUAACUCGUUUAUUGUGAUAGUGUUACAUACAUAUAAUAUUGAAUUUCGUGGAGUAGACUAAUGCUUAGUAUUUGAUGCUGCUGUACCUUGAAUUUGUUUCAAGUUCUUUUAUAUAAGAUUACCCCUUAUGAAGAAGUGAACUAAAUAGGGUGAUUCUUAUAUUUGUCAAGAUUUGGUUCCCAAAAUUAGUUUUACAUGCAAUAAGAAUAAUGCGGAUUAAAUUGUAGGUCCAAACGUCUCUUGAAGGAGAUGUAUAUACCUAAUGAAUUUCUUAAACAAUGAGUUGCUUAAACAUGAUUUGGAUGGUAAACCUUCUGUUGAUAUACCAAGCUGCCCAGUUUUAGUGUUUGUUGAUAUAAAAGAUGAAAAGCUUGGAGGACGACUCUUUAACGAAUUUUGCUACCUUCUUAAUAAAAAACAGGUAUUUUCUCUCUAUGUAAUUGUCUCUCCUUGAAGAAAGACAUUUUGAAAUGAUUAUUUUAAAAAAGAAAUCUGACCUGUAUGAUUGUAAACGCUUACCCUUCAACGUUUGGAGCCUCAGAAAAAUUUAUGAAGUUGAAUAAGCGUUCUCGAGUAUCUGUGGAUGUGUGAUAUGAAUUAGGUGGAUGAUACAUUAAUCCAUACAUUAGUGCUUGAAAGAUUAGCUGCUGAAACAAGAAUAACAAAUGUUUUUUGCUUUGUUGUUUAGCUGUUAAAAACACGUGUCUGGCCUGUAGGACAUAUAUUUUGCCAUCUUAACUUGAAGGGCAAUAUAAGUGUUAAAUGCAUGUUGCUUAUGUUUCUCAGGAAACAGAGCAUUUUUCGCAAUCGUAUCUUUUGUAAUCAACUCGGUUGAAUGUAUAUAAAAAUCAAACUGCUUAUCUUGCCGACACCUUUCACUCAUCUAUUCCUUUUGUUCGUUCAUGAUUAUGUUGAAUUUUUUUUUCAGGUUAAAUGUCUUAUUCAUGUGGUUAAGGCUGGUGCAUUCAAGUCCCGCAGCAACGCGCGGGCAUUUUUGCUAGUUGCAUCUAAAUUGAGUGUCUAGAUUGCCUACAUACUCUUAGCGGGUUCAAACUGACUUAGUUCGAAAAUGGAUUUGGAAUUUAAUUUGUGUGGCUUCGUACCAUUUGAGAAUUUUGAACUUUGGAAUUUGAUGGGUAUUUUGUAUUAGCUAUUUGCUAACUGAGAAUUUUGAAAUUUGGAAUUUGAUAGGUAUUUUGUGUCAGCUAUUUGCCAUCUGACAUAUGCAUUGUAAUGCACCAUUUUAUAUGACUUUGUAUGAGUUUCCCACCAGUUAUCAGCUAAUUGGCAUUUAGCUAACCUUAAUUUUGAGUUUCGACGACAAGGCCAACUAAUUUGGCUUGGAUUUGUUAAUGGGGAUUCGGGUUUGAAUAUGAAUCUCAUUAACCACUUGGUAGCUUUUCUAUGAUUUGGAUUGCUCUACUUCUUUGAUUGACAUGGCUUUAUAUUCGGAAGAAAACCCCCUGCUUCUCUUGGUCUGUGCUGCUGAACUUUUCUUCCUUUUCGAUUUUUGUCACGGGGCUCCAUGGUCGCACUAGUAACCCUCGCGCCAUAGUCUUCGCUAUAGCGCGAGCGGGAGACACGACGUCUCUGAAAGCAAGUCUGAAGUCCUGUUUACCUUUGAAGUCCCGCUAGCCCUUCUCUUCUUCGUUAACUUUUGAGAAAAUGAAGACUUGUUUUGCUUGUCUUCUUUUGAAAAUUAUAUUCCUUUUGUGACAAUGGAGGCGAUGGGGUUGCCCAUAUUUCUUCAUUUUCUUUUUUUUCAGUAUUAAAUUCUUUCUUCCCCUUACUUUUGUUUUGUAGCUUCUGUCAUUUGUCUCCAUGCUUUUGUUUAAGCUUUACCCAAUAUUUGAUCAAAAUGAUAACCAUGUAAAUGGCAUUCAAGUUAUCUGGAGGACCUUACACCUUUUUCUGGAGUAUUAUUCUUUGAAGAAUGGAGCAGCAGCAGCGUGCCAAAUUCUUGGAGACAUGUUCUUCUAUUUUUUAUUCAACUUUCGCCAACAAGCUUCUGGGUAAUUUCUCUAGGUUAAGGAAGAGAACGUGGGAUCAUCUCAAAUGUCUCCUUCUUGCUGCCUUCUUUUUAUUGUUGUUUGCUGGCGAUGAUAACAGUACAACUUCAUCUAGGUAUUGCUUAACCUUGGACGCUAUGUUGAGAAUGAAUCUCACAUCAAUUGGAGGAGAGGCAUUGCAUCAGCUUAUAAGUCAGUUGGUUUACUCCCAUAUUGCUAAUUGGUUUUAUAGUAGAAUCUCACUUUUUUUUCAUGGUAUACAAUGAGACCGGGUAACUUCAAUCCACCUCACCAAAUUGCCAAUUUUCCCAGUCCUCUGCCUCCCGGGCCAAGGAAACAUAAUCAAAUUCAACAAAACUCUCCUGCUCACUCAACUCGACACGAGAUCCCACAGGCUCCUAAUCAACAGUUCAACAAACAAUCUCGCAUUUGCCUCUGGUAAGUCGGCGUCUGAUCAUGGAGGAGGACAACUUUAUGAUCCAUUCUCGCUCAGCAAGUCAUUAGCAGGGAGGUAAUCCGGGAAACAUGUGGAAGCAAGAGAAUGAUCUAUUUAUUACUAUGGUUAUUUAUUAUACAAGCAACAAUGCAGAAGGGGUAUUCGACGAUAAAACCUGAGGUGCAAGAGUAAAAACACUCUUUUACCCACUUGAGCAAUAAGCCCCUUGCCUUUCCAUUUCCUUGUUAAUUGCCUAAUUCUCGACACAUUAAAUUAAAUGCACUACUCGCUCACAAGUCACAAAUUGCUAAAAUAAAAUCAACUGGGAUAGGAAAACGGUGAUCCCAUAAACAUCCAUCAUAGGGAGGAAUUACAAAAGUUCAGGUUUAAGUGGCCUCGUUAAAAUCUUGAUCGGAGAAAACCCAGUGGGAAAAACUCCAAACGUAGAAAAGAGUACCACAUUUAUAUUACAAAUCCGGAGAGCUCAUACACUAGAGUUGCGAGCAGCGCGGGAGAAGAAACCUUGGCUUAGAAAUAGGCAUGGUUGUCUUUAGAGAAUCGCUCUCAAUGCAAACACAAAACCAGCCCUACUGUAGUUUGUCAGCCAAAUCUCAAAUGAAUGCCUCUCAAAACAGUCACUCCUGAAACCCCAAAAUCUUGAGGACACAAAUAAAAAAAACACUUAAAACAUUUUACCAACUUGAGGAAUAUUGUGGAUUACUUUAAUUACGAGAAUAAAGACGAUUAACAAUACUAUUGAAAAGAUGAUACCUGGACCUGGAGACUAGGAUCGAAUCGACCAUCAGCUUCGCAUCAUCUUAAAAUCUCUACGCUAUGUAAGGGAUGUGGGAUAUUUUGUGCCAGUAGCGUCCUUUUCCUCGUUCGCAUCUCUCUUUUAGCACAGGACACCUAGAGAUGAGAAGUUGUGUAAGUGAAGGAGGAAGACCCUCUUCUGGAAUGGAUGCUAGUCGAAAACAACUGGAGAGAUGUAGAGAUUGAAGAGACGUUAGGGAUUGAAAGCCUUUGCUGCUCAGUUUCAUCAGAUUCGGGAAACCACAAAUUAAUAGUCCAAUGAGAGAUUUGGGGAGGAGUGUCUCCGUCUGGACCACGUCGGGUGGAAACGAUACCAUAUCCGGGUCAUUGCCGUAGAUCCAUAAUUUUCUAAGAGAGGUGAGUCUGUGCAAUCCCCACUCCAACUCCCACAAUGACUUACAGCUCUUGACUUUCGAAAUUGUAAGUGAUGUGAGGUUGGCGGGAAAGAAGCAACUCAAACCUUCACGGUAGUCAAUGGUCAAUUCCUCAAGAGAGUUGAGAUUGCGCAUGGCUUCGGGUAACACCUCCAAUUUGUCGCAAUCGGUUAUCUUGAUCUCUCUCAGGUUGGAGGCUUUUCUCCCCCCACUUAGUCUGGGGAUAGAAACAAGACUUCCACAGUAAUAAAUAUCCAACGUUUGAAGAUUGAUGAGGUGGUAUAAGCCAUCUAGUAAGUAUUUCAGAUUUUGGCACUUCCAGAUCCUUAUAUAUUCAAGACACUGAUUAGUAUUGUAGUGGGAGAACCCGUCCUGUACAAUUAACUCCAGCUGUAAACAAUCGUAUAUCUCAAGGUGUUUAAGUGUCCUAAGAAGCUGGCCGCUCAAUGAUAACGACGUCAGAGAUUGACAUUCCUGGAUUUUCAAGUACUCAAGGCAAAUGUGAGAAGACAACAGAGAAGAACCAACAACCUCCUCAUCUACUAGUGAUUUCAAACUUUUACAGUCACUUAUCUGUAUUCUUCUGAGAUUUUGGGGAACCUGAAAUUUUGCCAAAUAUAUCAACGAAUGACACUCUGUAAUCUUGAUGUCUUUAAGAGAAGGUGGCAGACCAACAUCCUCAAAAGAAACCAGACGUGGACAUUUGUGUAUGCAAAGCUGUUGAAGAGACGACAACUGAUUUAACCCUUUUGGUAGCUUCAAAAUAUUUUCGCACUUCUUUAACUCCAGACAUUCAAGCUUGCACUCCAAUAUUUGCAAUUGCAGCAACUCCUCUGCUUCUUUUCCCAAUUCUUCAACUAGAGGAGAGUUGUCUUCAAUUUCCAAACGGCCAAGAGAAGUCAACUGUUGCAAUAAUCUACCCUCGUUCUUCAAUGAAGACAUCAGCUCCUCACAUCCAUUAAUCUUCAAAUCUCUAACCUUGGUUAAUCCCUUCUGGAACAAUUCCCCUGUUUGCAGAGACAUGAGCUCCGAAAUGUUUGAAAGGCACAAGGACUCUAACAACUCAAACUCAACCUUAGCAGCUGUAUGCACCAACACUUUACAACAGUCAAUGUUUAAAUGACGAAGUUGUUUGUGGUUGGCAAUUGAAACCACUAAUUCUUCACAUUUAACAAUUCCAAGCUUUGCUAAAGAAUUGAGGUUCUCUGGCAACUUACCCCCCAGUUUUGAACAUUUUUUUACAAAGAGCGUUUUCAGGCAAGGGAAAACACCAUUUCCACGAUCCAAUUGGAAAGGAAGCCAUUCCUUCCAAUGUUGCAUAUCCACAAACUCAAGAGUCUCUAAUAGCGGAAAAGGCGAGAUGCACUCUCCAUAAAACUCAGCACCAACACUUUCCACUGCAUUCAUUCCUCUAAUAUAAAGUUCUUUGAGCUGAGGCAAUUGUCCAAGAGGUGGCAACGAUAAACAAUUGUUACAUUCCUCUAACCGCACAAGCACCAUAUUAGAGAACAAAGAAACUGCAACCCAUGAUGAAAAUUCCUUUCCGGCAUAACUCUUGAUGGUGAGCUCCUUGAGCUUUGUAUGAGGCUGUAACAUGUCAAGCACAGCAGAUUCCGUUUCUCUUGUGUUGCUUGAAUGAGACCAUUCUAGGACCAAUGAAUCAAGCCUCUCCUUGCAUUUUAAGUUGGCCCUCCGAGCAUCCUCGACAUCAAUCACAUUCUCCAAUCUUGAGAUGCACAAUGUCCCGCGGAGAUGCAAUAGGAACUCUAUCUCCCUUAUCCUUGAUCCAUCACUACCACCACUGACCACAAAAUUAGACAAUGAUUGGAGAUUCACCAUUCUACCCAGUUGUGGAGGCAUUCCUCCCAACGAAUAUGCAUCCAAGUUGUUUAGAUGGCGCAAAUUAAUUAGAUUACUCAUCUUCGCAGGCAAUGACUUCAAUUUAGAACAACCUUCCAAUAUCAAUGUUUGCAAGCUGUAAAGAGUGCUUGUUGAUUCAGGCAAACUGGUUAUAUCUGUGUAGGAAAGGUCAAGAUACUGUAACAACCUCAAAUCACCAAUUGAGUUUGGCAGCUCAGUUAUUUUGUAGCCAUUCAAAGAGAGCACUCGUAAGUAUUGCAACUGUGGUAGUAACUCAAAAAUAACCUUAUGAGACAAAUAUUUACUCCACCACCUGGAAUCUGAAAGCGAUAGUGGCAGGAAUGUUCGCAAACGUUCAACUUUAGGAAAGUCCUCAAAUCUGGUAACUCCAUCAAAUUGACCAGCAAUGAAAGACGAAUGGCGAGCCCUUCGAAAGCAGGUGCGUUGCAAGUUAUCACCUUGCUUAUCUUCCAACCUAGAACAUAUUUCUCCUGCUGCCCAUUGUGCUAAAUCAUUAACGAGGUCAUGCAUUACAAAUCGUGAAUUGUUUUUGCUUGAUUCUUGAAACAACGACCUUGAUAAUAGCUCUCGAAAGUAGUCACGGCCCAAAUCCUCCAUUUGUUUAUUGUCUUCAGGUUUUUGUUGAAUCAAACCCUCUGCCAUCCACAAAAGGACGAGUUGCUUCUCCCUAAAUUCAUAGUCGUUUGGAAGUAUUGAGCAAUAGGCAAAACACCUCUUCAAAUUUGAUGGAAGAUAGUGAUAGCUCAACUUUAGUACGGGGAGAAUGUCACUCUUAUCUGCUAUAUUCCACAAUUUGUUGUUCAAUAUUUCUUCCCACUCAUCUUUUUCUUUGCAACGUAAAAGGCCACCGAGAGUCCUUGCAGCAAAUGGUAAUCCACGACAUUUUUCGACAAUUUUUCUUCGAAUUAACUCAUAAUUUACUGGUUUUCCAUCGUUAAGUUCCCCGAAUGCAUGUCGCUCAAAUAUUUCCAAACAAUCAUCAUCUCUCAUGCACUUCAAAUUAUGGACUCCAGCGGCUCCCAUAAACUUGGCAACAUUCACAUCACGGGUUGUCACAAGUAUCUUACUUCCUCCAGCUCCGACGCCAAAAGGGGAUUGAAGUCUUGUCCAGAGAUCGUAUAGAUCAUAGUCACCUUUGUUCCAAAUAUCAUCUAAAACGAUUAAAAACUUUUUUCCUCUUAACUGCUCACUCAAAUCAUGCUGCAUUUUACUAAACUCCUCGACUUGAACGGGUCGGGAUGUGAUUGAUUCAAGAAUUGCCUUUGUCACUCGCACAACAUCGAAGUCAUCAGACACAGAUACCCACACCUUUGGCUCAAACUCCUUCAUGGCAUCAUCUUUGUGGUUGAAUACAAGUUGAGCAAGUGUCGUCUUCCCGACUCCGGGCAUCCCAACUAUAGCAACUACACCAAAAUUGACAGUACCUGCAUGCUUGUAUUUUCUUGACAACAAUUCGAUAAUCUCCCCUUUGUCAUCAUCUCUUCCAACAACAAGCUUUUCAUCUAACACGCCUGCACUUUGUAAACUUCGUGAUUCCUUAGCAGACGUCCCAGUAUCUUUCAAGCCAAACUUUUCUUUCCGUUCAGAUAUGUCUUGCAACCGCUCCAUAAUCUUCUUCAUUUCGGAGUUCAUAUCAAACCUCAAUUUAACUUUAUAAAAUGAUCUCCGUAUCUUGUUGCUUGUGUUGGCUUGUUCACGUCCCUCUAUCAUGCGCUUCAACAUUUGUGUGGCAAAUUUGUCCAACGUGUCUUCGAUAUCAUAAGCCAAAUCUCUGAGAUCAUCGAGCCACAGUUUUACAGCACCCUCAGUCAGUUGCCUUUCCUCGGCAUCACUCACCACCACUCCGAUUGUAGAUAACGUGGUCCUCAACUUCUCCAGCUUCCUUCUGACGCCCCGGAAGUUUCCAAAGUAGUUGAGAAUCUCGCGAGGGGUCAACCUGUCGAGCAGCAACUGUAGAAACGCCGCAAGAAAAAUCUCUCCCAGUGCCAUAUUAAGCGUGAACUGACCUCCAAGCAAUCAAAGAAACGGCGAACCGUUCUUGAGCGAUAUUGAGGUGCAGAACUCAACGAAAGGAAGAGUAACAGUCAAAGCCUAGUUCCUUGCAAAUUUGGAAGCUUGAUCUCUUGAGACUCAGAAAUAUUCACAACUGCACAAAUUAAAAUGAUAAGAACUAAUUGUUGAUGCCUGCGCAAUCAUAUACAAAUUUAUAGUAAAUGUGAAAUAAUCAAUGGACUCCUAGUAAGCAUAUCUAGAGGUGCCAAUUUGAGACUUGGGAUGGCAACAUGGCGGAUUCAGAUCAAGGUUGCCUACAUCAUAAGUUUGAUAACCGUCCCGCCACUAUGUAUACAGUCCCUGUUACGUUUUAUGGAAAUAUUCUUUUCCUUAAUAUAUACAAAAUAAUCUAACAACUUGAUAUUGUGUCUAAAGCACAAUAAAACACACCAUAUAAUGGCGCUUUACAGCAAUGUCGGAAAACAAUCAUACUUAUGGAUUCGAUCUCCACCGAUCCCCUCCCCCUAACAACUAGCAAUUUUACCGACAACACUAUCAUUUGUCAAAAAAAAAAACGUCAUAUAAUAUUACUCAGUAACAAAGUACAAAAAAAACACCAUAUAAAUUUGAAAGACCGGGAAAAAGAAAAGCUCAAUAUUGCAAAAAUCAUAUAAUAGUAUAUAUUAUUUUCAUAAAUUUUGCCAUAUUGAACGGAAAAAUGGGUCAGUUUUGGGAUUACCCGUAACUGUAGGGAUCCUUGCAAUCCUGCGUUUCAAGACUCGAAACUUGCUCGAAUAUUGGACAUGAUCUGUAGCCAGGAAGUCUGUCAGGUCAUGACGGCACUUGUUUGCAUGGAUCAGUUUGCACUUACGAUCAACAAAUUCAGGGUGAAUGAUGGAAUAAUUAAGGCAGGCUGAAAAUUGCACAAAUUGUAUAGCUGGUUAUUGAUGAAAUAAUUAAGUAUACAAACUUGAAGAAAAAUGAAAUAAUUAAUCUAUAAAUAAUGGAUUUGGCAUAUAUAGUUGCAAGAGGAACUUACUGCAUUCAAGUUUUCAGAUGAUGAUGAAGAUGAGAUGAAGAUGAAAGGACUUGUUUCCAUAGAUCAUAUGUGAAAAUCAACAGAUCUAGACGACUUUAGAGCUCUUCAAUGCUACGAUAAUUAGGCGUUGACUUGGAAGACUAACAAGUCUUCGUCUUUCUGCCUAAAACAGUCUUGGAUUCCUCUUUUUUCUCUUAUCUUUAAUUUUCGUGGGGUCAUAUUGUUUUGUCGUUUUUAAUUGCUUUCUUAUCUCCCAGGUCCUUUUAUAUUUUUAGAAAAAGAUUCUCUCCGGAUUUUUUUUUUUAGAGAUUCGAAUAAUUAAUCAAUCAUGUCCGUCGUAAGUUAUUUAUAUACAAUUUAAAAUUUAAUUUAAAUUUUUUUGUGACCAUAUGAUAUAUGAUAAACAAACAUGAUUAAUUGAUCUUCUAGAUCUCUACAAAGAGAAUCUUUUUCCAUAUUUUUUUUAGAACUUUAACGAAAAGCUUCCGGUACUAUUUACUUCAACGAAAAAUCACAUUUUUACACUAAAAAAUCAAUCAUAAUACUAUUCACUUUAUCUUUUAUUUUAUCCUUAUUAUUAAGACUCAAAAUUUUUAACUCUUUUUUAUUAGUUUUCCUUUUUUUUUUUUUUAUCGUUUCCUCCCUUUGUACGAGAGAUUUCGGGAGAUGUGUACCAAACAUGGAACUUCGGAUGGAAGGGUGACUAUUUGUAAACAACUAAGCUAUAUUCUCUUGGAACACUGAUUAUAUUAAUUUUGUGGGAUGUGUUAGAGAAAUCAUAUUUUAAACUAUAUUUAUAAAUUAAAUGAUGUAUCAUCAAUAAAAAAAAAUAAGUACGUUAGUCAAUAUUUAAGUAAUAAUCAAAUCAUCAACAUUUACAUAAUUUGGUUUACAAAAUUUUAUUUAAAAAUUUGGCUUUCCUAACAUUAUCCUAUUUUGUGAGGGUGUUUGGUUCAAUUUUUUGUCGGCCAUUGUAAACAAUGUAGGGACAAUCAAUUUAAAACGGUAAAAGACUGAAACAACCCAAGGGCUCUAUACACCAGAUUUACCAAAGUUAUCGUGGAUUAUGCUUUUACCAUCUUGUAGUUAUACUACUUAAUAAGUCAUAGAGCUAUAUUAUAUUAGAUCAAUUGAAUUAAUAAUUUUUCAUGGUCAUAGGGUAUUUGUAUGAUGACCCAUGUGGUAAAAAAAAUUAGAAAUUAAACUCCUGUUACUAAGACCGUCAACAAAUUUAGCUCAAAAAUAGAACUUACUAGCAGGAAUGCCCGCGCUCUGCCGUGGGAUUUGAAACCGUCUCUACCAUCAACCAAAAUAAUUCUAUAAUUUAAACCAUCCAAACUUGUUUAACAUAGUUUUUUGUCUAUCAUUAUAUAUUUCCUCUCACAAUUUUUAUGGAAUAAAAAUCUAAACAUUAAAAAAUUUAAACAAAAUUUUGCAAAUAAUCUUGCAUUUAAGCACGUUCAAAACCAGUGGCUCUUUCAAUUUUUUUCUAAACAAAGAAAAGGAAAAGUGUUCAUCACUGAUAUUGUGCAUCCAAUGUACUGGUUUCUUGUCCACCUUCUCCUCCUAACCCUUUUAUCAAUAACCCAUCUCAUUAUGUUCCUCAGAGACUCGAAACCCAAUUCCAGCGGUCCAUUUAACACCUCCUAAUAUCAAUUCCUAACAAAAUAAAUACAAACGCAAAAUCAGCAGCGCUUUCAAAUAUUUUAAAGGGAAAGUGGGAAAAUAUUAUCAAGAAAGAUGCAAACGAAGUAUAUUCAUCACUGAUAUUGAAGAGAAAACGAAGUGUAUUAGUAUAUUCAUCUUUCCCCAUUCCUUGUAAAGUUGAGGAAUUUUUUCUUAACAUCUGAACGAAAAGUAAAAUAACGCUAAUACACUCAAUUACAGCACACAUAAGCUCGUGAACAAAUUAUCAUUUCCAAACUGCCAUGAGAGUUUACUAAUCAUAAAUCUAUGUAGAAGUUGAAAUUCAAUCCAAAAUAAACAUUAGGCACAUCAUCAAAAAACCAGCAGCACAACUACCCUAUUGAAAAAUGCUUAUUUCACAAAACAUUUAAUGAGUAUUUUACUUCAGAAAUUUCUGCAAACCACAAUUGAACACACCAAUCUCUAUAUAAUUCAGGAACCAAUCAAAGCAGCUGAAUACACAUGGUAAAAUAAAUGUUGCAGUUUGAUUUUGUAUUCUAUAAACUUUACAUUAACGAAAUACAUUUAGGGAUUAGUACUACAAUGACAUUGCUCCAACAUCAAUUACAAAUCUUUUGAGAACAAAUAAACAGAGUAGUGAGAGCUCGUACCCGAAGUGAGGCAUAUGAUCACCCCUCCUCAAGUUCCCAAGAGUAACUGAAUGGCGGGGCAGCCCCUACAGAAUGUUUUUUAAUCGAUUCGGUAGUUAACACUGGUCAAAUGCACAAUACAUAUCUUAGAAACUAUUGUCAGUUAACUUCUAAAGAAGUUAGAGCAAAAAUUACCUCCAAUCUUUGUUUCUCUUGUACUUUGGUAUUGUGGGGUUGACUUGUAAACGGUAAUAGAACUCAUGUAAGCUGAAUAAUAAAAAGCCUUUUUUUAGUUAACUAAAAAGCACUUGUAAACGGAGUGAGAUAUCUGGUAACCAAAAAAUGAAUCUUGGAAAGCAGACAUAAACAAACUUCAAUCACAAUUACUUUAAUACAUUUGGAUAUCGAGGAAAAUUAGAUUUAUUCAAUUUCGAUAUAAAGAAAAUUAAUUAAUGCAGGUACAACAUUUGUGCCUCAAUGACAUGAGAAGUACUCAAAACAAACAUUGUUUUCUUUUUGUCUUUAGGCAAUCUCUGCAAAUCGCAAUGAGUUCUCUAACUCAUAUACAUUGAUAAUCAUAUUAACUAAUUAACUUGCUAACCCCUCCUGUUAAUUUCACACUUAUGCUCCAAACAGAUUUUGUAACUAAUAUCCCAAAAAGGGAGGAAAAAGGGAAUAAAAAAACCUUUGUAUGGUAUACUGCAGUGUUAUCUGUGUAAGCGUAGUUAAGCCCUGAAAGGCCAACAACCUCCUUGUAUACUUGGAAACCUCUUGCAGAUUUUAUGGCUCCAGAAGAAAAUAGAUCAUGCAACAUUAAUAUCAUUAAGACUAAAGUAUUUUUCUGAAGUGAAUACACAUGAAAAGUAUCAAAAAGAGAGAAGGAGAAAAAAUUAAAUAAAUAAGAACUGCACACCUGUCCUAUAAUUUGGCCAGACAGGCAUUUUGCUACCGAGGCAAAAUUCUCAAUAGCCCAAGCAUCAGCCUAUCAGAUGAAGAAAUAUUCAUAAGGGAAAAAGUAAGCUUAAACAGGAUUUCAUAUAUAUGAACUCACUCUUAAAUUACUUGUCCUAUUACCAAAUAGCUAUUGGAAAUGGUUUGAGUUAUAAAACCUGACUCUAAACAGGCCUGAUUCUUAUCAAAUAGCUCUUGAAAAUUUGAUAUGCAAAAACUGAAACAAAGAAAUAGAUCCCAAUCUCAUCCCACAACGAACAAUGAACCAAAGUUACAUGAACAAAAACAAUGUCAACAUUUCAAGCUGUGCAAAACUAAACUCAUUUAGGAAAGCACAAAGUCAUACAUCCAAUCAUGUCUCAUUCAAAAUUCCAAUACUCGAUUCUAAAGAAUAAAGGAAGCAAUAGCACUCAAAAUCAAUAAUUGUAAAGAAUACUGAGGGCAAUAGCAUUCAAAAUCAAUAGUUCGCAAGUCUCCAACCAGCAUAGCAAAAUGCAAAGAGAGCAAGUCUCCAACUCUCCAACCAACGUAACAAAAUGUCAAAAAUCAAAAUGCUUAUGGCAUUAGUACAACAUAAAGUUCAAAAUAUUAGCAAUAAAUUUAAAAAUGCCUUAUCUAAUAUCAUUGAGGGCAUAAGUUGGAAGAUAAGACAAAAAACAAAAAGGGGUUGAUGCAGGCAAUAUAAAAAGCAUAAGAAAGGAAAGAUACCCAAAAUCCAUCACAAAUCAUAGUGAAAAUUUGUGUUAUAGCAACCUUAAAUUCAAAAAUUUCUCUAGUUUUCCAUGUUUUCUCAUCAAACAAACAACAAAUUCAUAUAAAAUCAGAAAAGUAAAAUUACUAGUAGCAGCGUGCUCCGGGGCUCGUAUGACGGCGUUCCUCCACCAGCAACGGCGUCGAGAUUGUUUUCUGAGGCAAGGAUUACACAGGAAGUCCGUAAAAUUCAUGGACAUCUGCAAGAAAACAAAACCACUGAAAGUCAGAGAUUUCCAAAACCGAAAAGAAAUGAG
rnacentral:lncRNA from 1 species